AUUGAACGCUGGCGGCAUGGCUAAAACAUGCAAGUCGAACGGACCUCGCAAGAGGUUAGUGGCGGAAGGGUCAGUAAUACGAUCGAAUGUACCCCGAGGUGGGGGAUAGGCACGGGAAACUGUGCGUAAUACCCCAUAAGCACUCCGGUGGAAAGAUUUAUCGCCUUGGGAGCAGCGAUCGUCCUAUCAGGUAGUUGGCGGGGUAAAAGCCCACCAAGCCGAAGACGGGUAGCGGGUGUGAGAGCACGACCCGCGACAUCGGGACUGAGACACUGCCCGGACUCCUACGGGAGGCUGCAGUAACGAAUAUUCCGCAAUGCGCGAAAGCGUGACGGAGCAAUGCCGCGUGCAGGAUGAAGCGGUUUCGCCGUGUAAACUGCUGUCA
rnacentral:rRNA from 1 species